AGCGGCCGCGGUAAUUCCAGCUCCAAUAGCGUAUAUUAAAGUUGUUGCAGUUAAAAGCUCGUAGUUGAAUUUCGGGAUCAAUUAGUCGGUCGUGCCUCUGGUACGUACUGGUUUUAUCGGUUCCCCCCUUCUGACGAAACAUGAUGUCAUUAAUUUGGUGUCGUGGAGAAUCGGGACUGUUACCUUGAAAAAAUUAGAGUGUUUAUAGCAGGCUAACGCUUGAAUACAUUAGCAUGGAAUAAUGAAAUAGGACGUUCGACCCUAUUUUGUUGGUUUCUAGGAUCGACGUAAUGAUUAAUAGGGAUAGUUGGGGGCAUUAGUAUUCAAUUGUCAGAGGUGAAGUUCUUGGAUUUAUUGAAGACUAACUACUGCGAAAG
rnacentral:misc_RNA from 1 species